CAGAGGUCCCAAGCGUUGUUCGGAUUCACUGGGCGUAAAGGGUGCGUAGGUGGCGGGGCAAGUCUGAUGUGAAAUCUCCGAGCUUAACUCGGAAACUGCAUCGGAUACUGCUUCGCUCGAGGGUUGGAGGGGGACUGGAAUACUUGGUGUAGCAGUGAAAUGCGUAGAUAUCAAGUGGAACACCAGUGGCGAAGGCGAGUCCCUGGACAACUCCUGACACUGAGGCACGAAAGCUAGGGGAGCAAACAGGAUUAGAUACCCUGGUAGUCCUAGCUGUAAACGGUGCACGUUUGCUGUAAGUGGAAUCGACCCACUUGUGGCGUAGCCAACGCGAUAAACGUGCCGCCUGGGAAGUACGGUCGCAAGAUUA
rnacentral:rRNA from 1 species